rnacentral:rRNA from 1 species
UACGUAGGGUGCGAGCGUUGUCCGGAAUUAUUGGGCGUAAAGGGCUCGUAGGCGGUUUGUCGCGUCGGGAGUGAAAUCCAUUGGCUUAACUGGUGGCUUGCUUUCGAUACGGGCAGACUGGAGGUAUGCAGGGGAGAACGGAAUUCCUGGUGUAGCGGUGAAAUGCGCAGAUAUCAGGAGGAACACCGGUGGCGAAGGCGGCAUCCUGGACCGGCAUUGACGCUGAGGCGCGAAAGCUAGGGGAGCAAACGGG